GGCACACGAUGUAGCAAUACAUUGGUGGCGACCGGCGCACGGGUGAGUAACGCGUAUGCAACCUACCUAUCAGAGGGGAAUAACCCGGCGAAAGUCGGACUAAUACCGCAUAAAACAGGGGUUCCACAUGGAAAUAUUUGUUAAAGAAUUAUCGCUGAUAGAUGGGCAUGCGUUCCAUUAGAUAGUUGGUGAGGUAACGGCUCACCAAGUCCACGAUGGAUAGGGGUUCUGAGAGGAAGGUCCCCCACACUGGUACUGAGACACGGACCAGACUCCUACGGGAGGCAGCAGUGAGGAAUAUUGGUCAAUGGGCGAGAGCCUGAACCAGCCAAGUCGCGUGAAGGAUGAAGGAUCUAUGGUUUGUAAACUUCUUUUAUAUGGGAAUAAAGUGAGGAACGUGUUCCUUUUUGUAUGUACCAUAUGAAUAAGCAUCGGCUAACUCCGUGCCAGCAGCCGCGGUAAUACGGAGGAUGCGAGCGUUAUCCGGAUUUAUUGGGUUUAAAGGGUGCGUAGGUGGUUAAUUAAGUCAGCGGUGAAAGUUUGUGGCUCAACCAUAAAAUUGCCGUUGAAACUGGUUGACUUGAGUAUAUUUGAGGUAGGCGGAAUGCGUGGUGUAGCGGUGAAAUGCAUAGAUAUCACGCAGAACUCCGAUUGCGAAGGCAGCUUACUAAACUAUAACUGACACUGAAGCACGAAAGCGUGGGGAUCAAACAGGAUUAGAUACCCUGGUAGUCCACGCAGUAAACG
rnacentral:rRNA from 1 species